CAGGACUCUGGGCAGCCCCACCCAGGGAAGAGGGCAGGAGGGGGAGACGGAGCCUCUCCGGAUGACAGCCAUGUAGCAGGUGGGGAGGAAGUGCAGAUCCAAAGAAAGAGAAGCACAGCCUAGCUCCAAGCUGGUCUGAUCAACCCGAAGUGAAGAUACCGGUUCUAACCCAAAACUAUUGGUUUGGGCCCUCAUGGGUGACAGAAAAGUAUCACAGUACUGGUUCCUGUUUGAACACACAUGUUCAUGGGGUCUCGCCUUGCAGCAGGAGGACAGAGGAGGCUGGAAUCACGGCACUCCCACAGCAAGGGCAAUCUUUAAAGGCAGUAAGGUGUGACGCUCCAGACUGGCAGCUUGGCAAGACGGAGCCCAUGGAUACCAGCACACGGGAAUCUGGACCGUUCACUCUGACAGCAGUCAGCACUGGGAACAAAAGGAAUGGAGGAAAAAAAGCGCAAAUGUAUUUUUACAUAUUGUAGGCAUAUGGCCACAAGACCAGCAGAAAUACAUUUAAUUACCAAUUGCGUGCAUUGAGGAGAAAAAC